UGGGGAAUAUUGCACAAUGGGCGCAAGCCUGAUGCAGCAACGCCGCGUGAGGGACGACGGCCUUCGGGUUGUAAACCUCUUUAGUAGGGAAGAAGCGAAAGUGACGGUACCUGCAGAAAAAGCACCGGCUAACGACGUGCCAGCAGCCGCGGUAAUACGUAGGGUGCGAGCGUUGUCCGGAAUUAUUGGGCGUAAAGAGCUCGUAGGCGGUCUGUCGCGUCCGCUGUGAAAACCCGAGGCUCAACCUCGGGCCCGCAGUGGGUACGGGCAGACUAGAGUGCGGUAGGGGAGAAUGGAAUUCCUGGUGUAGCGGUGGAAUGCGCAGAUAUCAGGAGGAACACCGAUGGCGAAGGCAGUUCUCUGGGCCCGUAACUGACGCUGAGGAGCGAAAGCGUGGGGAGCGAACAGGAUUAGAUACCCUGGUAGUCCACGCCGUAAACGUUGGGCGCUAGAUGUGGGGACCAUUCCACGGUUUCCGUGUCGCAGCUAAC
rnacentral:rRNA from 1 species